ensembl:lncRNA
AGAAGUAAUACGCAUCUGUGAAAAAUUCAAACAAGAUGAACCCAUUUUAAAUGUGUACUCAGUGAGUUUUGACAGGUAUCUACGUCUGUGUAAUCACCUCUGCAGUCAGUAUGAAGAACGUUUCCGUCACCCUCCCCAAAUCUCCUCUGCCCAUUGCAGUGGUCUCUCUCUGACCAACCCCAGACAUCCAGUGAUCAGAUUUCACUGCAGAUGAGUUUUGCCUACUGUUGAGCUUCAUAUAAAUGGAAUCAUAUGGAGUUUACAGCUGUUGAUGCCAACAACUCUUCUUCAGAUCCUCCAAACAGUCUUUUCCUUGGUGAGUUAUACUGUAAAAUUCUAAUCAUCAGCGUUGUGCAAUAUCAAAAUGCCUUGUAUAUGUAACAAUGACAGCACACUAGCGCACACCCAGGGAAACAAGGUCAUGUUCCACCUGAAACAGAGGUGAUAGAUAACACCAUGACUGUGGAUGAACUCACCGAGGAAAUGAUUUAUGGGAAGAAGAAUGCAGAAAGCGGCAGGCUAGGGCAUUCGGGUAGCAUGGAGCGGAAGAGCACAGUUCCAAGGAGGAAGAGGAUCCCCACCACAGUGAGUGAUCAGUGGACACUGAAAAGGAAGGAUGACUGGGAGGAUGAGCUGCGAUGGAAGCCAUGGUAAGAGAUUUGACAAGAAGGUGAUGCUGACAGUGCCAGGUGUGUUUGAAGUAGAAUGGAGGAACUCACUGUCAUCUGUAAAGUAUGAACUUCACUGGGCUCUUCCUCAUCUCAACCAUCUAUAAAAAUUUUACACUAGGUGAUUCAGUUCUAUUCAACAAGUAUUUAUUGAGCUGCAUACUAACUGUGGUGGGGUUGUAUAAAAGAGGCAGAAAGUGUCUUAAAGUAAUACGUCUUUUUUUUUUUUUAAAGGUUAUUUUUACUUAUUUAUUGGCAGUGCCAGGUCUUAGUUGUGGCAUGCGGGAUCUUUAGUUGUGGCAUGUGGGAUCUAGGGAUCCCUGACCAGGGAUCGAACCCAGGCUCCCUGCUUUGAGAGCUUGGAGUCUUGACCGCUGCACCCCAGGGAAGUCCCAAGUCACAUGUCUUUAUAAAUAAAUCUCCGGUUAACUUGUAAAUUAAAA